rnacentral:lncRNA from 1 species
UCUCCCCAGGUCAUCCAUUAAAGCUCAAACAUUGGCUGAUUUUAUUUUGGAGUGUCCCAUCUCGAAAGAAGGCCCAAGCAAUGAACCAAAAGUUGUGACACCCGAGGAACGUUGUGUUCUUCGUGUAGAUGGCUUCUCCAAUAUGGCAAGCUUAGGAGCCAAGUUGAUCUUAAUUGGACUCAGAUAGAGUGGUCAUCGAGUAUGCGUUACACUUCGAAGUCCAGGCUUCAAAC